UACGUAGGCAGCAAGCGUUGUUCGGAUUUACUGGGCGUAAAGGGCGCGUAGGCGGCCACCGCAAGUCGACUGUGAAAUCUCCGGGCUUAACCCGGAAAGGUCAACUGAUACUGCAGGGCUAGAGUGCAGAAGGGGCAACUGGAAUUCUCGGUGUAGCGGUGAAAUGCGUAGAUAUCGAGAGGAACACCUGCGGCGAAGGCGGGUUGCUGGGCUGACACUGACGCUGAUGUGCGAAAGCCAGGGGAGCGAACGGG
rnacentral:rRNA from 1 species